rnacentral:tRNA from 1 species
GGGAUCUUAGCUCAGCUGGGAGAGCGUCUGCCUUACAAGCAGAGGGUUACAGGUUCGAGCCCUGUAGGUCCCG